CCUACGGGUGGCAGCAGUGAGGAAUAUUGGUCAAUGGGCGAGAGCCUGAACCAGCCACGUCGCGUGAAGGAUGAAGGAUCUAUGGUUUGUAAACUUCUUUUAUAUGGGAAUAAAGUGAGGAACGUGUUCCUUUUUGUAUGUACCAUAUGAAUAAGCAUCGGCUAACUCCGUGCCAGCAGCGGCGGUAAUACGGAGGAUGCGAGCGUUAUCCGGAUUUAUUGGGUUUAAAGGGUGCGUAGGUGGUUAAUUAAGUCAGCGGUGAAAGUUUUGGGCUCAACCAUAAAAGUGCCUUUGAAACUGGUUGACUUGAGUAUAUUUGAGGUAGGCGGAAUGCGUGGUGUAGCGGUGAAAUGCAUAGAUAUAACGAAGAACACCAGUGGCGAAGGCAGCUUACUAAACUAUAACGGACACUGAGGCACGAAAGCGUGGGGAGCAAACAGGAUUAGAUACCCUGGUAGUC
rnacentral:rRNA from 1 species